rnacentral:rRNA from 1 species
UGAGAUGUUGGGUUAAGUCCCGUAACGAGCGCAACCCUUGUCCUUAGUUACCAGCACGUUAAGGUGGGCACUCUAAGGAGACUGCCGGUGACAAACCGGAGGAAGGUGGGGAUGACGUCAAGUCAUCAUGGCCCUUACGGCCUGGGCUACACACGUGCUACAAUGGUCGGUACAAAGGGUUGCCAAGCCGCGAGGUGGAGCUAAUCCCAUAAAACCGAUCGUAGUCCGGAUCGCAGUCUGCAACUCGACUGCGUGAAGUCGGAAUCGCUAGUAAUCGUGAAUCAGAA